GAGGAUAUAGACUAGAGGUCUAGGCUUCUGACUUUGAAUCAGAAGGCCAUGGAUUCAAUUCCCAUCCCCUCC
rnacentral:tRNA from 1 species